GAGAGGCAAUUUCAAGUUUUAAUAUUACACUAUAAGGCAGUUUGUGCUACUAAGACAGUUUUUUCUAACCAAAUUCAUUUUCUAGUCAUAAACUAACUAAAUAAAAGAAUGUGGAUCCCAUGUAUCUUCUUCUUCGUUUCUUUCCCUUCAGUUCUUCAUUAUUUUUUGUAAAAUCAAUGUUGUUUUUUCAGAACAUUCUUUUAAUAAAAUAUUUUUAUAAUUAGUAUCUUUAUUAUUCAAUCUAUCUUUUGAAAUAUCUCAAGUGAUGUUUAUUAUACACCGCAAAUCACAGCCACAACGAGCUCCACCGCCGCAGUCUGAUUUCUUUUCCACAUGACUUAUCUUUUGCGGUGU
rnacentral:lncRNA from 1 species